GGUUGACCUCGGAUCAGGUAGGGAUACCCGCUGAACUUAAGCAUAUCAAUAAGCGGAGGAAAAGAAACCAACCGGGAUUGCCCUAGUAACGGCGAGUGAAGCGGCAAGAGCUCAAAUUUGAAAGCUGGCUCCUUCGGGGUCCGCAUUGUAAUUUGCAGAGGAUGCUUCGGAAUCGGCCCCCAUCUAAGUGCCCUGGAACGGGCCGUCAUAGAGGGUGAGAAUCCCGUCUGGGAUGGGGUGUCCGUGCCCGUGUGAAGCUCCUUCGACGAGUCGAGUUGUUUGGGAAUGCAGCUCUAAUUGGGUGGUAAAUUUCAUCUAAAGCUAAAUAUUGGCCGGAGACCGAUAGCGCACAAGUAGAGUGAUCGAAAGAUGAAAAGCACUUUGAAAAGAGAGUUAAAAAGCACGUGAAAUUGUUGAAAGGGAAGCGCUUGCGACCAGACUCGCCCGCGGGGUUCAGCCGGCAUUCGUGCCGGUGUACUUCCCCGCGGGCGGGCCAGCGUCGGUUUGGGCGGCCGGUCAAAGGCCCCUGGAAUGUAACGCCUCUCGGGGCGUCUUAUAGCCAGGGGUGCCAUGCGGCCUGCCCGGACCGAGGAACGCGCUUCGGCUCGGACGCUGGCAUAAUGGUCGUAAGCGACC
rnacentral:rRNA from 1 species